rnacentral:rRNA from 1 species
AUUGAACGCUGGCGGCAUGCCUUACACAUGCAAGUCGAACGGUAACAGCACUUCGGUGGCUGACGAGUGGCGAACGGGUGAGUAAUACAUCGGAACGUGCCCGAGAGUGGGGGAUAACGCAGCGAAAGCUGUGCUAAUACCGCAUACGAUCUACGGAUGAAAGCAGGGGACCGCAAGGCCUUGCGCUCAUGGAGCGGCCGAUGGCAGAUUAGGUAGUUGGUGGGAUAAAAGCUUACCAAGCCGACGAUCUGUAGCUGGUCUGAGAGGACGACCAGCCACACUGGGACUGAGACACGGCCCAGACUCCUACGGGAGGCAGCAGUGGGGAAUAUUGCGCAAUGGGGGGAACCCUGACGCAGCGACGCCGCGUGAGCGACGAAGGCCUUCGGGUUGUAAAGCUCUUUUAUUAGGGACGAAAUCCCGCAUGCGAAUAGUGUGUGGGGAUGACGGUACCUAAUGAAUAAGCCCCGGCUAACUACGUGCC